rnacentral:rRNA from 1 species
CACGGAGGGUGCGAGCGUUGUCCGGAAUUAUUGGGCGUAAAGAGCUCGUAGGCGGUGUGUCGCGUCGGCCGUGAAAACCUGCAGCUUAACUGUGGGCGUGCGGUCGAUACGGGCAUCACUGGAGUUCGGCAGGGGAGACUGGAAUUCCUGGUGUAGCGGUGAAAUGCGCAGAUAUCAGGAGGAACACCGGUGGCGAAGGCGGGUCUCUGGGCCGAUACUGACGCUGAGGAGCGAAAGCGUGGGGAGCGAACAGG